GAUGAACGCUGGCGGCGUGCUUAACACAUGCAAGUCGAGCGAUCAAAUUAUGACAUUACUCCUCUGAGGUUAGCGGCGGACGGGUGAGUAACACGUGGAUAACCUACCUAUAAUACUGGGAUAACUACGUGAAACCGGAGCUAAUACAGGAUAAUAUAUUCAACCGCAAGGUUCAAUAGUGAAAGACAUUUUUGUCGUCACUUCUAGAUUCAUCGGCGGCGCAUUAGCUAGUUGGGAAGUUAGCGGCUUAACAAGGCAACGAUGCGUAGCCGACAUGAGAGGGUGAUUGGCCACCCUGGAACUGAGACACGGUCCAGACUCCUGAGGGAGGCAGCAGUAGGGAAUCUUCCGCAAUGCACGAGAGGCUGACGGAGCAACGUCGCGUGAGUGAUGAAGGACUGCGGAUCGUAGAACUCUGUUAUUAGGCGAGAACAAAUGUGUAAGUAACUAGGCACGUCUUGACGGUACCUAAUGAGAAAGCCACGGCUAACUACGUG
rnacentral:rRNA from 1 species